UUGUGUUACAGUUUCAAGAACAUGAUGAAUAUUCCUCUGAUGAUAUUUUUACUGUUAAUCAAGUGCCCUGUUGCUAGUUGUGGUCAUCAUUUUGACAGCAGUGACUCAGACAGUGAGGAGAGAUUCUUUCCUCGCCCAAUCCCUACAUUUUCCUGGCUUUGGCCAAGACCAUUGCUUCCCCGGCCACCUUACCCUUUCUGGCCCCUCUUUCCUGGUGUCUGGCCACAGCCAGCACCUCCUCCUGCUCCUCCUCCUGGACCCGCUCCUGGACCCGCUCCUGGACCCGCUCCUGGACCCACUCCUGGACCCG